AGCGAACGCUGGCGGCAGGCCUAACACAUGCAAGUCGAACGAAGUCUUCGGACUUAGUGGCGGACGGGUGAGUAACACGUGGGAACGUGCCUUUAGGUUCGGAAUAACUCAGGGAAACUUGUGCUAAUACCGAAUGUGCCCUUCGGGGGAAAGAUUUAUCGCCUUUAGAGCGGCCCGCGUCUGAUUAGCUAGUUGGUGAGGUAAAGGCUCACCAAGGCGACGAUCAGUAGCUGGUCUGAGAGGAUGAUCAGCCACAUUGGGACUGAGACACGGACCAAACUCAUACGGGAGGCAGCAGUGGGGAAUCUUGCGCAAUGGGCGAAAGCCUGACGCAGCCAUGCCGCGUGAAUGAUGAAGGUCUUAGGAUUGUAAAAUUCUUUCACCGGGGACGAUAAUGACGGUACCCGGAGAAGAAGCCCCGGCUAACUUCGUGCCAGCCGCCGCAGUAA
rnacentral:rRNA from 1 species